rnacentral:rRNA from 1 species
GAGCCAGACUCCUACGGGAGGCAGCAGUGGGGAAUCUUCCGCAAUGGGCGAAAGCCUGACGGAGCAACGCCGCGUGAUCGAAUGAAGGCCUUCGGGUUGUAAAGAUCUGUUGACAGGGACGAAUAAGCAAUGCGAAUAGUUUUGUGUAUGACGGUACCUGUUUAGAAAGCUCCGGCUAACUACGUGCCAGCAGCCGCGGUAAUACGUAGGGAGCAAGCGUUGUCCGGAAUUACUGGGCGUAAAGGGAGCGUAGGGGGCCUGCCAAGGCUGAUGUGAAAUACCGGGGCUCAACCCCGGGGCUGCAUUGGAAACUGGCAGGCUGGAGUGCCGGAGAGGCAGGCGGAAUUCCUAGUGUAGCGGUGAAAUGCGUAGAUAUUAGGAGGAACACCAGUGGCGAAGGCGACUUACUGGACUGUAACUGACGUUGAGGCACGAAAGUGUGGGGAGCAAACAGGAUUAGAUACCCGAGUAC